GCCCGGAUGGUGGAAUCGGUAGACACAAGGGAUUUAAAAUUAGGGAGCCGCAAGCGCGACAACCGAUUUAAAAUCCCUCGGCGUUCGCGCUGUGCGGGUUCAAGUCCCGCUCCGGGUACCA
rnacentral:tRNA from 1 species